AUUGAACGCUGGCGGCAGGCCUAACACAUGCAAGUCGAGCGGAUGAAGGGAGCUUGCUCCUGGAUUCAGCGGCGGACGGGUGAGUAAUGCCUAGGAAUCUGCCUGGUAGUGAGGGAUAACGUCCGGAAACGGGCGCUAAUACCGCAUACGUCCUGAGGGAGAAAGUGGGGGAUCUUCGGACCUCACGCUAUCAGAUGAGCCUAGGUCGGAUUAGCUAGUUGGUGGGGUAAAGGCCUACCAAGGCGACGAUCCGUAACUGGUCUGAGAGGAUGAUCAGUCACACUGGAACUGAGACACGGUCCAGACUCCUACGGGAGGCAGCAGUGGGGAAUAUUGGACAAUGGGCGAAAGCCUGAUCCAGCCAUGCCGCGUGUGUGAAGAAGGUCUUCGGAUUGUAAAGCACUUUAAGUUGGGAGGAAGGGCAGUAAGUUAAUACCUUGCUGUUUUGACGUUACCAACAGAAUAAGCACCGGCUAACCUCGUG
rnacentral:rRNA from 1 species